UUUUUAAUUUAAAAUUAUUAGAGAAAAAACUAUUAGUUUGGCAGACGGCAACACUAUCCUAACUAUAGCAGGAACCAGCAGCUCCUUCAUUAUAGACGUUCUGACAACCAGGUGUCCCAUGUGUCGCAAAGUUGCUAAAUUGCUGUCUCGAGUUGACGUUUAAGUUGUUUAUGUCGUUUAUGUCAAAGAAACAUGCUGCAUCAUCUCCAAAAUUAGUUUUAAUAUAUUCGAGUUCUCUAUUUGUUUUUAUCUUUAAGCCGCGGAAAGUAUUGUAUGCAAAAGUGUAAUUGUCUAUUUGCAUUUUUGCUCCUUUUAUGAAAAUUUUGAUGUUCGAGUUCUUCGCAUUAAGCUUCGUCAUAUUUAUCUAUAACGUCAUAUAGAUGUCUUCUUUUGUUGCGAUACAUCAAUGAUUGUUCUCGAUGAACAAAAAUUCCCGUGUUUUUAAGUUUGGGGGCUGCAACCAUGAUUUUGUUGACAGUGUCGGUGUUAUCAAACUUCAGAACCAUUGUAGUUUUUUUUGUUUCGCGGUUAGUGAAUUCUUGUGAAUUUUGUAUAUUCAAAUCCGUAUUUUCGUUGAGACCAAGAAGGCCUAGACAAGUUUGUGUUGCAUAUUUAAGCUUGUUUGCCGUCUUGUCUGAAGGAAAGUGCAUGACAACAGUGUUUUCAUUUGUUCUUUGUGCCACCAUUUCGAGCUGUCUCUCCAGGGUCUCGCAAUAGCUUUCAAGGACAGAAAGCCGUUCAGUUAAAAGAGUGUUUUGUACACGAAGAAGCUGUAUGUCUUUUGAGACAGCUAAGACGUCUUCUUUCGUCGAAAUGUUUUUAAGAUGUUCGGCCAAACAUUGGUUCACAAUAGAUUUUAGUUCUUCAGCAUUUGUCAUCUUUAAGUUGGUUACAGUUUUCUUGCUAUGAGGUGUUUUUAUCGGAGAUAUUUCCGUUGAUUUUCUCUUUGGUUGCAUAUAGCGGGCCAGUUAAAAAAAAAAGUGCCGGUCUUCUGGGUUGGAUUUAAAAAGACUUAAAUUAAUCCUACCUUUGUUUGUUUGUAUAUUUUUUUUUAACUUUUGGAUGCACAAUAAGUUGAUAAAUACACCAAAGUAAUUUUGACUUUUAUAGAUACAAUUUAAUAUAUAUUUAUUGAGAAAAAACUAGAGCACUUAUUAAACUAUAUGUGUUGCACUUCACUCUCUCUCUCUCUUUUUUCUUAAUUUCGUUCAUAUACUUGUCGAGCUUUCUGGUUCCUGACGAAAGUCUUGAAGAAGUUCGUGCUUUCAUUAAAUCAAAAUCAUAGUAAUGCAAGUACCAAGAUGCUACUUGUUUUUUGUUCUUGCUCAGAAAUAAGAAUAAGUUGUGCUUGAAGAAGAAACGCUAAUACUGGCACAAGCAACCUUGUGCCUUUUGUUUUACAUCUCAAUCUUGAGGUAGAGCAGAAGAACUGAUUUCGCUCCACAAAGAAUUGGAUGCAAUUUCAUAUGUACUUUGGUUUCUGAACCCCUAUUCUUUAAACGUUUGUCGGGUUAAAAGGGCGCUGUCGGCGUAUAAGACAAAGGAAGACAAGGACCAAAUUUGAAAAUUCCCUAUAAAUAUGGGACUUCCUUUCACCCAAAAUACAUAUAUAAAAAAAAAUCAUAACGUAAAGUGAGCGAAAGCUGUUUUGUAAUGUCAUAUUACGACUGCUCUAGGUUGCUGUUUAGUUUGUUGAAAAAAAUCUUUUUCGCUAUUCGCGAACUAAAUUGAACUAAGUUCAAUAGUUCACCAAAAUGAACUAGUUCAUUGAACUAGUUCGUUCGCGAACUACACAAGCCUACAAAGUUUGGUAUAGUAUCACCAUUUUGAUUUUUUAUUUCGCCAAAAGUCCCCAUACCUUACUUCGGCAGUUUCUUUUGUCGCAAAUAGAAAAUAUAUUAUUAUUAAGAUUUAAGCUAAUACUUUGUUCUUCCAUUGUUUUUUACAAAACUAUUACUUUUUUAAAUGAACUCAGAAGAUUACUAUUUAAAUAUUGUUCUCGCAAGAAAUCAGCUUUUGAACUAAAAUAUUUCAUUCAUAACUUUCCCUUUAACCCUUUCAUGCUGAUUUGUAAUUUCCCCAAUAUACCUACCCGAAAAAAUAGUAAUUUUGUUUUAAAAACAAUCAUCCCAAAUCGCAUUAUUGCAUAUUUUUUAGGGAUAGGUUUCUACUACGCACCUACCUGCACAAAUUAACUGGGCAUUCCCCACAACCACAUUUGUAUUGUUACCUAACGAUUAAUUACUUUUUUAUUUACUCAGUCAUUGAAAAUCCUUUUCUAAACCACAAUUGUAAAAUUAAAAUAACCUGGUUUAAUUGCAGUUGUACCGCAAACAACCAACCCUCAAAACCUAAAUAAAAAAAAUAUGCAACAGGUACCUAGAGGACGUAGAAAUUGGAAGUGGUUGUUUUCAUUGUUCAAAGUGUUCAUGAUUUUUCGAUAACGUUUGAACGUUUCAAUCACUUUCAAUCAUUUCGAGUAAAGCCUAGUGUUUAUGAACAGUCAAUCUGUUUACGAGUAAUUUUGUUCGUGGGUAUUGUGGAUCGAGUAUACUCAUGAGUUCAAACAAUUUGUGUGGUUUUGUUUGUGAGUAUUUUUGUUUAUGAGUAAGAUGAUUUACGAGUAUAGAGAGAAAACGAUCGAGCACGAACGAUCAUUUUAAAAAAUUGAAAUUGUUCGAACAGGUUCGAACAUACUUAUUUGGAUCUCCACCGUACACAUAAAAAGGUAAUAUAUUCCGAACUGACAUUGGUCGCCAGAUUGUCAAAACAUGACACUUUGGCGACCAAUGUCAGCUACCGAAUUCUUAAUUGUUUAAAAUACCGACGAAAACGCACAAAAACCGAUAAACCACGCACACCACUAAUUUUUAAACAAUUAUUUACCAUUUUCCGCGAUGAAACACGAAGAAAAUUUGUUAUUUUUCAAUUUAUAAUAUUUUUAAAUGACAUUUUAUAAAUUAAAACAACAAAAACAAAUUUCCUGUUUACUGCGAUUGAAAUAUAAAAAUUAAAGGCCGACCUGACAGAUUGGUGCCCAUUUUUGACAAACAAAUUUUGACAACGUUCGGAAUAUAUUACCUUAUUAUGUGUACUGUGAUAGGUACCUACUAACUAUCAAAAUAGAUUUUUAAAAAUUGAAAUUUGGCACGAUCCUACUUAAAUGUAGUAGUAAUAGUAGUGCCAACUUAUAUUAUGUUUUAGACAUAACGUGUUUUUUUUUAUUACGACCGCAACCGGGCUAAACUUCCCCUACAAGUCCCCCCCCCCCCUAGCUACGUGCCUGACUAUGGACAACAUGCUGCAAAUUUGGCAAAAGACUUUCGUAUCGUUUGUCUGCGAGUGAAAACUGCUUUUAUGGAAUGUAUUGUUUGGUGAUUCCUUGGAUGUUCUGGCUUGUUGAAAAUUCACUGCCUCCAAGCUUGUUGUGUUUUACUUGGAAGUUUUUGAAGCAAAACGAAAAUUAUAAGAACAUCCCACUCAUCUACCGCUAUAUAUUAAAAUUUUUUAAGCUAUGAAGAACUUCAGUCGAUGUAUCCAACAAAUGCUUUAUUAAUUCGGCUUUUUCUUGAAUACUUGGAGAAUUAUUAAACAAACAUUUAAGCUGAGUGUUCACCAGAAAUCGCGCAUGAUCGUUUCUUUCAGUGAGAAUGGACCAGGCUUUGACAUAAUUGCCAUUAUCUAUGCUAAGAUAGUGAAACAUUUUUGUGUAUCAAGGAUACAAAUAGGUCAUGGAAUGGUCUCCACGUGUCGUAGGUGCCUGAAAAGGCCGGAAAAUGUUUGGUAGUUUAAUUUCUACUUUGGAUGAGGAAACAUGGUUUAAAGUCGCUACUGGAUCUUUUUGAAGCUCUCUUUAAACUGAUCGGUGGCGUCUAACAAAUCGCCAUGGUAAACUAGAUAUGCUUCACUUAUUUUUUCAAAAAUGCCUUCAACCUCUUCGUAGAAUCCACAUCUUCUAUGGACAUGAAAACCUUUUGAUGGUGUUGUUUCGCUUGGUUCAUAUCAUCUUCUAACAACGCUAAACGUCCAGAAAGAUAAUUUUCUCUUCUUCGUGUUUUCCAGUUUUAGACAAAUUAACCUGAUCUUUUACCAUUUUACUAUAGAUUCUCUAUAGCACUAUUUUGUCCAUUGUAUUUGUUUAAUUGUUAAAAUAUAAAUAUGUAUUUUAAACAAUAAAAGUAAGGAAAAAACGAAAUGACUUACUUUGUAAAUCCUUUAUAUGCAUCUUG